rnacentral:rRNA from 1 species
UACGGAAGGUCCGGGCGUUAUCCGGAUUUAUUGGGUUUAAAGGGAGCGUAGGCGGCUUUGUAAGUCAGCGGUGAAAUUUUGCAGCUUAACUGUAACAGUGCCGUUGAUACUGUGAGGCUAGGAUUUGGUUGCUGUGGGUGGAAUGUGUGGUGUAGCGGUGAAAUGCUUAGAGAUCACACAGAAUAUCGAUUGCGAAGGCAGCUCACAAAGCCAAGAUUGACGCUGAGGCACGAAAGUGUGGGGAUCAAACAGG